rnacentral:rRNA from 1 species
GUGCCAGCCGCCACGGUAAUACGGAGGAUCCAAGCGUUAUCCGGAAUCAUUGGGUUUAAAGGGUCCGUAGGCGGCCUUAUAAGUCAGUGGUGAAAUCUCCCGGCUCAACCGGGAAAUUGCCAUUGAUACUGUAGGGCUUGAAUUAUUGGGAAGUAACUAGAAUAUGUAGUGUAGCGGUGAAAUGCUUAGAGAUUACAUGGAAUACCGAUUGCGAAGGCAGGUUACUACCAAUACAUUGACGCUGAUGGACGAAAGCGUGGGUAGCGAACAGGAUUAGAAACCCGAGUAGUCC